rnacentral:rRNA from 1 species
GAAUAUUGGACAAUGGGCGAAAGCCUGAUCCAGCCAUGCCGCGUGUGUGAAGAAGGUCUUCGGAUCGUAAAGCACUUUAAGUUGGGAGGAAGGGCAGUAAGCGAAUACCUUGCUGUUUUGACGUUACAGACUGAACAAGCACCGGCUAACUCUGUUACUGCCGCCGCGGUAAUACAGCGGGUGCAAGCGUUAAUCGGGAUUACUGGGCGUAAAGCGCGCGUAGGUGGUUCGGUAAGUUUGAUGUGAAAUCCCCGGGCUCAACCUGGGAACUGCAUCCAAAACUGGCGAGCUAGAGUAGGGCAGAGGGUGGUGGAAUUUCCUGUGUAGCGGUGAAAUGCGUAGAUAUAGGAAGGAACACCAGUGGCGAAGGCGACCACCUGGACUCAUACUGACACUGAGGUGCGAAAGCGUGGGGAGCAAACA